GAGGGAUAUACGUAUCUAUAGGUUACAGGCAAGUGAGUAGUGUCGUACAGCAGCAUCCAUGGGACAGCAGCGGUCUUCUCUAACGAUGCCCACAGCUUCCGCUCCCCUCGGCCACUACUGUAUGAGAACUUCCAAGCACAGUUAAUUAGCAGCUGCGGGUCUCCUCCCGGCUGAGGGAACAUGCAUAGGAAUGCUCUGUAACUUCAGUUCUAAGAGCUGGAUCUGACACGUAACGCUGUAAAGAACUGUUAAAUGGUAAUUGGGGACCCGACACCGUCCCUCAGGAGGGGAACUCACUCCACUCCCACCCCGCGCACACCGCUGCGUAUCCGCGGAGCGCCGCCCGCCCCGAGAGUCGCCCCGGGGUGGGAUUUGGCAGUUCGGUCCAUCUGUAGCGGAGCCCGUCCCGGAGCCGCCGGGGGAAGGCGGUGCGGCGCUCCCAGCAGCGUGGGGGUGGGGGCGGCGGCCCCGGGAGGGUUCUCAUUGCGUUCGCUCUGCCGGAGCCCGACCCUCCCCUUUCACCGAAGCCCCGGCGACGCACGCAGGGCGCUGGGUUGUUUUCCGAACGCUCAGUCGAGUAGAAACGGACCGCGCCACUCCUCCAUCACCGCACGUCAGCCACAAGAAAUAAAUACACCGUCACUUUAUUGCCCCGGGCGGUCCUCGGCGCGCGGCCUUCCGAGCAGCCCGUGCCGGCGGCCUUUCCCCGGCGGGAGCGACGCGAUCCCGGCGGAGGGCCGAGCCGCGGCCCGGGGCGCCGUCCUCGCGCGGUCGGACGGGCCGGGCCGGGCCGGGCGGGGCUCCCCGCGCCGAUGUCCGCCUCCCCUCGCGGCCGGGCGCUCCGCGGCGUUCCCUCCGGUCCCGAGGGCCGGCGCGCGGCGGGCGCCGCCUCAGGGGCAGACGCGGGGCCCCGGGUACGGCUCUCCCCCGCACCAGAAGUCGGCGGCCGGCGCGGUCUCCAGCAGCCACACCUCCCUCGGCAGCGCGGGCUCGGCGCCGGCCGGCGGCCCCUCCAGCAGGCGGUAGUAGUGGCAGUCCCGGCCGUGCUCGGGGUCGUAGGGCGGCGCCAGGAUGUCGAGGAAGGCGGCGGGGCCCUCCACCGCGUCGAUCUGGUGCAGGUUGUCGGUGUGCGGCGAGAGCAGGCAGGGCGGCGAGGCGGGCGUGUAGUGCUGCCGGGAGCGCAGCAGGGCGCGCAGGCACGGCCCCGGGGCGGGCGGCGGCGGCGGGGCGGCGGCGGCGGGCAGCGCGUCCAUGCAGGCGAUGCGCAGCGUGCCGUACAGCACCUUCAGCAUGCCGUUCAUCCCCGGGUGGUCGUGCAGCGGGAUGCAGGCGCCGCCGCGCAGCAGGAACACGCCCAUGCUGAAGCUCUCGGUCUCGCAGAUGUGCAUGUAGCUGACGGGCGGCACGGCGCCGGCCCGCGGGCACCCCGCGCCCCCCGCCGCCGCCGCCGCCGCCGCCGGUCCCUGCGGCGCUAAGUGCAGGUCCUCGGCGCGCACCUCGUCCAGCAGCUGCUGCAGCCGGUGCAGGUUCUCCCCGAAGGCCGGUCCCGCGGGGCUGCGGAAGGUGAUGCGCGCCUGCCGCGCCACCCGCUGGAUCAGGGAGGCCAUGUUGUCCCGGGGCAUGGCGGCUCCCGGCCCGGUCCGGUCCGGCCCGGCCCCGCGCGCCCGCCCGCGCCAGGCGCUCCCGUCGCUUCCUCCCGCCGCUUCCUCCCGCGACCGCCCAGACGCGCAGGCGCGCCCGCGUCGCCGUGCACCACGGGGCCCGUAGUCCGCCGCCCUCCGCUCGCCGUCCCUCGCCUCCGCCGCCCCCGCGCCGCACCGCGCCUCUGCCCGCCGCCCCUCGGACGGCGCGGGGGCGGUCCCGGCACGGCGGCGGCGAGGGCGCGGGGCGGAGGGCGGCGGGGGCGGGAGGAGGACUACGGCUCCCGGCGGCGCUGGCGCGAGGGGGCGGCUCUGCCGGAGGCCGCGCUCCGCGGGCGGCGCGCGAGGGGCCGCGGGGUCGGGAGGCGGCGUGAGGGGCGGCCGCCAUCUUGGGGCGGGGGUGCGCGGGGCGCGGAGGGCCGUCCCCGUUCCCUCCGGGUCCUCCGCGCACCGCGGCUCCCGGCAGCGCGAGGGCGGCCGGCCAGAGCGGUUUCAAACUUAGAAAACUGCGCUCUGAUCGCGGGAACGUACAGACUCGUGCCGCCUCGAGUCCGAUUCUCGGAGCAGGUGUCAGGCGCCCGGCUACUGCUGUGCUGUGGGCACGGCCCGUGACGGUUCUGACGAGCAGCUGGGUAGAGCUCCGGGGGCUGCAGCCACCGAGCUCAGUAACUUCCUUUAAAAGCAACAUAAACAGCACAAAAUUAGACUGUUUUGUGGAAGCAGAAAUGCUUGGUAGUGGUAGGACUCUGUGCGCUUGCCUAGCAUGCCAUUGCAAGGACAAUCAGCAUGGAAAACCAGGACUUUGAGCUCUGCAUCUCUGCUUGAUCUUGACUUGCUGGUUGAUACCAGGAGCUGCUUCCCAGAUCCUCUUGAUUCGGUUCGAGAAGUUAGAAUUACCUGUAAUCAUUGGUAAACCAAAAGUCCCGAAUGGAGAACAAUGACAGGCGCCCACCGAGAAGUCAUCAUUUCAAAAACAUCCAGCUCCCACCUGUGCUUUGGGAUGUGAAAGAAUGACGUUGGCAGGUAGAGGCCUCAAGUUCCUCUCGGAUGCAUCUGGACCAUUUUAUUAGGGAGUCCACUGAGCCUGUGAUCAGCCUGAGUGCAGCUGAUGGUGAGCAGCGCCAAGGUGUGGUACUGAGCUGCUGAUCAAAUUGGUGUAUUUCAGAAGACCUGAAAAAAUUAGAUGAUUGAAACAUCACUCGUAAGCCACAGCUUCACCAUGAGGACUUUAGGAAAAGCAUGGCUGCACAGAGUACCUUCACCAGCAAUCUUCCAGGCUCCGACAAAACUAUUGUUCUUGAAGACCAGAAAGAUUGUUAUUGAGCUUUCCACAAAGCUGAAAUAAUGCUGUGUGUUAAAAAAAUGUUAACAAUUUGAAGAAGUUAUAAAAAUUUAUAAGUUGACUGAAUACUUUGGAAAUUUCUGCAUAUUUUAAUAUAAAUAGAAAAUCAAAGAAAUCGUGGAAGAUGGAGGAGUUAUUUCAGAUGCAUUUGGUGCAGUGAUGAGCUCAAACUUUAUUCGAAACUAUUAUGGUAAAAUAGAACAAGAAGAUACAAAAGAGAGAAAGAAGGAAUAGAAAGUGGUGGAAGGGAAGGGUAUGUCUGGUCCAGUUUGAAUGCCCUGUCCUGGAGUGGGAAGCAAGUUCUGCACUGUAUGUGGAUGAAGUUAAUCAGUUUGCAGUAACAAAGUGUUGGAAGGGACUUCAAGAGCUUAUCUAUACAGAGCUGGCCAGCCUGUGCCUUGGAGGCCUGCUGGGGAGAGGUGACAUUCAAGUGAUGAAGAAAUAGGAGUCUGCACCAUUCGUCAGCCUAGCGAGAAGGCGGCUCUAUGCUCACUUUGAAAGAGGGCAGUGCAAAAGUUACCUAGCGAUGUGAGUACUCUGGGCACGGCGGAGGAGCUUCCCACUGAAUGCGGCACAGCGGCACAGCUGCUGAGGAGAGCAUGGCAACAGCAAGAAAUGGAAUUCACUGAAGAAAGCGCUUGACAAGCCAUGUGAGAACCAGCGUGAGCAGCCAGUGGGCACAGCCCCAUCUUCUUGGGUGUGUUUGAACAUGAGAUUCACCACAUCUGAGAGGACUGGCAUAGCAGCUCAGCCCAGCUAGGCUGGCAGCUGCUCUAGGGAUGCUGUGGGAAAGGGCGCAGGAACAGAUGGAGAGUAGUCCUUUCCAGGCUUGACUGUCCUGCAUUCAGGAGGUUGUAUGAGGAGCCCAGGGAACAGACUCAGCUUUCAGCUUGGGCUGAAGUUAUGGCUGGGUGGCAGAGCAAAUCGUGGGAAGGUGUGCGACGUGCAGUGGGAGGCACUGAGCCGCUCUGGGCAGUCUCCCAGCCUGGCCCCUGCACUGGACACUGAAGUGGUUCUCCACAACAUGUGCACGAGGGAAAAGCAUGUCUGCAAACGAGCUGUGCGCUUGGAGAUGAGAAUGUAGCUUUAAUGUGGAGGUUUGCACAUUGAGAUGCACUGACCUACUGGGACAGUUAAUGUGUUUCUGGACUUGCACAUCCCCUGUUUUCAGGCAAACAUUUCAUGCAGAUUUGUAACAUGCGAUAGCUGCCAAGCAUCUUUUACAUAGUCACAGUCUAGUGACUGAAGGAUCCACUAAUUAAGAAGCCCUUAAUUAGGCUUUUAAAUGAUAAACUGUAAUAGCUCUAGUGCAGCUGUUGUAAACUGUAGAGUAAAUUAUACCCAGUUGAAAGAGGCUUUAAUUACGUAUUUAUAUAACAGACUUUAAGGACUUUGAAAGAUAAAAGAAUUUUUAGUGUCUGCAAUUAAAGAAACAAGAGAGUAACAAUAGGGCUCUUAAACCAAUGAAAGCAAGGAAAUUCAAAAUUAAUCUGCAAAGUCACACUGGUACUUUGUUUUAUGCUCGUGGCAUUCUAAUUUUGGGGGUUUGUUUUUAUUCUUUUUGUUUCCAUAAUGCAUGAGAUAAAGAAGUAUUGUCAGUCGGGAGUUGAUGUCCCCUGCUCUCACUUUCCUAGCUUUCAUAGGUCCAUGUGCAGCCUUGGUGAUACUUGAGGAAACUUUCCUUGCUUUCGUUUUUGCAGAAAUUCCAGCAAGAAGAUUAUCAACUACUUUUUCUCCUCGCAUCCCGGUUUACAGAAUGGUUUGUUGUACACAUGCCUUUGUGAAGUCAGCAGGAGCUCAAAAAUCGGUUGGUUUGUUGGUUGUACCUGGAACUAUUCAGCUCUUUGGAGAUGGUGCUGUGGGCUCCCUUUUUGCGGGGCUCCGACCUGCUGAAAUUGAAGAGGGUUAAGUCUUUGCUCACAUUUAGGUCUGGACCAGACUCCAGUCUACCUUCCUGUUAGAUACCAGCACUGCUGCCCUCUCCACAGCUCUGCCUGACACUGCCUCUCUUGGUAACCUCACCAGUAGUCACCAAACUUGCAUGUGCUCUCUGCUCCCCUGGUUUACCCAACCCUGCUUGCUUCCCUUCCUUGCCACCUCUCAUCACAAAUAACAUUGAUGCACAGCAGUGAAUAAACACUUCUUUAUAGAGAAAAAUAAAACUGUCUCUGAUGUGCCAUCCGUUGCCUGAUGGGUUUGCUGAUCUGUUGCCAAUUCUUUUCAUUUCUUAGAUUACUGCUCCUCAAGACAAGAGCUGUGUAUUUAGUGCCUGUGUGCCUCUGCCAAGUAGAUGGUAUGUACAUUAGACUGCGAGACUGUAAUGUGCAGAGAGCUCAGCUCCUUUAGCUGCUCUCUGGGACUGGUCUUUACAACUGUAGGACUUAGCAGCCCAAGACAGCUAAACAAGGUAUUGCUUUUUGCUUAUUCCAACCACAUCCAAGCAUUUUUAUCUGUAUCACAGCAAGGAAAAUAAGGAAUACCACUCUCACAGUUAAUUUUUAUGGCUGAUUAAUUAGCCCAAAGAGUAUUAAAUUGUGCUAAUGUAGUUUGCCUCUUCGAUGCUGUCUUUUGACUUCAAUGGAACUUAAUACGUGCUUAAAGUUAACUACAUGCCUAAGUGCUGUGGUGAAUCGGGGCCUAGGGCAUUAAUUAGAACUUGGCUCAGAUUUACUUUCAAGGCUUUUUUCUCCUCUUUUUUUUUUUUUAACUCUUCAGAGCUCAGCAGUUUAAUUGGUAUGCAGAUGUUCCCCUUUAUUGCUGGUAGAAGCCUCUGUCACUGUUCUGAAGGUACUCAGACAUCAAGGCUGGUACAGUGGGCAGGAAGAAACCCCCCCUGAAGGCUUUCAAGCUUUGUGGGAAAUAAUGAUGUAUGAGACAGGGAUUCCUUUGGAACCUGAAGGGAACAUGACAGAUAGAAUAAUAUGGGAGGAAAACAUUGUCUUCACAAUUGAGACUGAUGGUCUCAUCUUGUCUCCUUGUUAUUGUUACCAACCAAGACUGAGAUGAGCUUUCUUACGAAGAACUUCAUUUCGUGGCAGGUUCUAUAUGUUGGACGCACUGUGCUCAGUGGUAGCUUUCCAUCCAAGGUACAGAUAUUGACAGGCUCUGAGGAACUCUUUGGGAUGGUGCUUUAGCUUAAAACCUAAAAUUCCUUCCAGCAUUCAGAUGCAUUUUGUCAGGAGUGACAGUUGCAAUUUGAUAAUCUUUUACCACUUUGCCUGUCUAUCUCAAACAGCUAGCUGGAGGGGAGAAACCCAGAGUUGUUGGGCACAGGAGUGUCAGCUUUAUGAGUCAGCUUUUCUCACACUUUAUUAAUUUCACUUUCCAGUGGUUAGUGCAUGUUUGGAAGAGACAACUGAUUUGUACGGAUCUGUGUAGGAUGGAGCAAAGCUGGAACUAAAGGAGCGCAAGUUGACAGCAGUGCAAUAGCUCUAAUUGACAGAUACCAAAGGCACUAUUUAAAGCAACUUUUCUUCUGCUGUUAAAGUUAAAAAUGGCCCCCAAUUUGUCCUCAGAUUCCCAUGUUAAAAAGAAAUGUUUGCAAGUAUAUUAAUUUAAAAUGGAUUAGCUGGAAUAUUAAGUGCUCCUUUUAUGUACUUGCAUUUUCAAGUUAGAUGAUCCAAAAUGCUUCUGUGCAAGGUACAGGAAGAUGACUGUUUCUUAACUCCUCCAGAGUAAAAGCUGUCUUUCAGGGGAUACUUUGCACAUGUGAGAUUUGCACUAGUGGUUUUUUGGCACUCACAGUUUCAUCAGAAAUGCAUUUCAGCAAAUGGGAGGCAGAAGGAUUAAUACACACGCCGCGUGUCGUGGGUGCAAAAAUGCAAGUAGAAAUUACAACCAUCAUUGGAAGGUCUGGGAAAAUAAGCCUUCCUGGAUGCGAGCAGGACAAAUUAGGAAAUAUCAGAUUUCUUUUACAACUGGCUGUUACUCUUUACAUUUCUGGAGAACUGGGAUCUUGCUGUUAAUCUUACAAAAAUAGAUGCUGUGGUGAAGCCUCAGGCAUGAAUAAAAUUGGAUGUUAAUCUUAAAGCAGAUUUUUUACAGCUAUGCGCUCAGAGCCAGUGAAUCCAAAUGAUUUGGAAACUCUGUGUUUGUUACUUAUUUAGAUCAAAGUGCUGUGGGGAAACAGGUCAGCGGCCCAGGUACAUAUUGUAACGUUUGAGGCUCCUUAAAGUUGAGCAGAUAAGGGCAGCAAACAUUAAACAUCUCUGGCUUCACGCAAAUAAUAGGCAAAGCUGAAAAAAGCCUGCUGACAAGAGGAGUGGGUGUUGGUGGGUGACUUGCUGCAGUUUUAGAGCUGUUAAGUGUAGGUUUUUUAGCAUUUUCAUUAUUUAAAAGUGGAGUGGUAGUUUCUUCACUCCCUCUGAAAAGUUACCAAUUUACUCUGAAAUACAGGGUAACCCGCAGUGAUUUAACAGAUUUGUAAUGUGCUGUAGAGUGAUUUCAAGUAACAGACUCCCUCCUUCUCGCCAAGUUUCCCACCGUCUCAGCUCUGCCUCCGCUCCUUUCUCUGUGUACAUCUGCACCAAAAUGCAAAGCAGGGGCUGCCCCACGUGUGACUUUCAUCAGCCUAGCUCCGGUGUCAACAUGCUGGGCAGCUUUGACCGCUCGUGCCCAUGCGGGUUUGCCUUAUUCCCAGUGUUCAGAAAGAAGAGGCUGAGUUAAUGACGUUUGGACGUUGGAAAUCCCACCACAGAGCAUGGCGUGGUUCAAAAGCACCUGCCACUCUGCUAGUACCACUGCAAGCAGACAGUCCUUCCUGGUAUGCAGACCUUCAGCUAAGUUCAUGGGAAGUACCAACGGAGCGUGGUGUCGGUCCCCAGGGUGCUCCUGGAAUCUGGGCAAUAUCAUCAUCUGCACACCUCUCUGUCUGAUUCAGAGAAAGCAGCUGAGCUGUGUUCGCAAAUAGCUGUCCAAUAAGACAGGCUUCAUGCGAAGAUGAGAGGCAGCUGAGACAUUUUCCCUGGCUGUCAAGCUGAAUGGGUCUCAGCCAGCUCAUGCUCCAGCCAGUUCAUUCCUACCUAUUGCUUGUGUUCAGUUGCCAUGCCUAUGGAAGGAUAUUUAAGCUAGAAGCCCCUUAGCAUGAUAAUAUUUGAAUAUGACAGGACCUUGCUGAAUAGAAGCUGGCCUUGUAUUUACUCUGAACAGUCUCUGGUGGUUUGUGGUAGGGAAUUGGGAGCUGGGGCUGAAGCCACAGCCUCUAGGACCAAACCACAGAAUUUACACACUCCUGCCAAGGCCUGCCAAUCUGUGUUCCUAGCUGAAGGUCUGUGUCACCGCUAUUUUGUGUGCUAGUGUCUUUGCUGUUUGAGGGAGGAAUCUAUUUUGUUCAGUAUAGCAAUACCGUCUAGCCUAGUUUAAUUUUAUUAGCUGCUGAUAACGUGUUACUAUUCUGCACGUCCAUGAGCUUGUUUAGUGUCAAUAACCAAGGGCAGAAAUACUUGAAUGGGAGCCUAGAUGGAGAUGCUUUCUCUUUCUCUAUUCCUCAUGAGAACCCACCUGCAGUACCACCACAUCCAGCUCUCAGACCCCCAUCACAAGAAACACAAGGGCCUGCUAGAGGGAGUCCAGAGGAGGGCCGCAAAAAUGAUCAGGGGGUUGGAAAGCCUCUCCUAUGAAGAAAGCCUGAGAGAGGUGGGGUUGUUCAGCCUGGAGAAGAGAAGGCUCCAGGGAAACCUUACUGCAUCUUUUCUUAAAGAAGACUUAUAAGAAAGAUAGACUUUCUACAAGGGCAUGCAGUGAUAGGAUGAGAGAUAAAGAUUUUAAACUAAAAGCGGGUAUAUUUAGAUUAGAUGUAAGGAAGAAAUUCUUUAUUGUGUUGGUGGUGAGGUACUGAAACAGGUUGCCCAGAGAAAUUAGGGAUACCCCAUCCCUCGAAAUGUUCAAAGCCAGGUUGGAUGGGGAUUUGGGCAACCUGGUCUAGUGGGAGGCCUGUGGCAGGGGGUUGGAACUAGAUGAUCUUUUCGGUCUCUUCCAACCCAACCCCAACCAUUCUAUGAUUCUGUGCUGAUAUUCUGGAGGACUCCAAGGUUUCUUUUGCCUUUCUUCCUUUCCCUGAUCUAGAAGGCCAGGAGAACGCUUAUCCACUCAUAAUAAAUGAUUCAAGCUGCAUGAGACUGAAAGGUCACUACAAGUUUCUGUUACUCUCCUGGUGUGACUGGUACAAAUCACAUCUUCUAGCAAACUUUAAGCAAGUAUGCUUCUGUUACAAGGUGAGAUGGUAAGUUAGUGCCACUGACGUCUGUUGGGUAGAGCAUUUUAUUUUGAAACCAUUCUUGCUCUGAAGGCUCAGUCAACUGCUCUUAAUCUGGGAGCCUACAGUGUAGGUAAGUGUGGUCAUGAGGCUGAACAGCUCAUGCAACUCUCCUUGACUUGAACUGGAGAAAGGCCAGAGUUUGUUCACUUUCACAUUCUGUAACUGAGAAAAAUGAAUUCUCUUCUAGGGAAGCAGUAAUUCCUUCCAUUCUUCCCAAAUAGAUGAUGACUAAAGAAGGUCUGAGCUGAGUAUAGAUAUUCUUACAUUUACUUAAAAUGAACGUAGCUCAUAACUCUUAUUUUAGCACCAAUCUGGAACACUACUGUGAACAGAUUUACAAAGUCUGCCUGUUUCUUACCUUGGCAUUCUGGUAAUUAUACUCAUUCUUGCACUGAUACUUGGGAGUUUGAUGAAGCAAAUGCCUGAAAGGUGAGUAGGUGAAAGGUUGAUAGUUUUCUAUACAAACCUGUUCUUUUUGUGUACGCCAUAAUUUUCUUUCAGUUCUAAAGUAUGAUUUUCUUCUUCUGAUACUAAGGAGUGAGGCACUGGGUUUUUUUUUGUUUUGUUUUGUUUUUUUUCUUCUAGCAUGUAUGUCAUCAGCAGUUAUUAACUUUGUUCUAGUUGCAGGGUCCUUUGUUGCUGGAUUGAAAAAACCUACUAACUUCAACCAUGUGUUUUUAGACUAGACACUUAACAAAAACCUUUACUGCAUUUAUAAAAUGAGCAGAUUUAAUCUGAAAGUCAUUGAAAGAAACCAAUAAAGAACUUCCUUGAUGUGAUUUCUGGACUUACUAUGUGGAACUCUAUCACAUGUUUUCACGUAUUGGGCAUAAGGGCAUUUGAAAGGAUAAAGAAGGUUAAAUGUAGAUGAUAAUGAAAAUAUUAUCAGUAUUUAUAGGUCAGGCAAUAAUGUCAGUGUAUUAAUGUGAUAUGAAAUAUUUCUUUGAUUUCAUGGACAGUGCCUUACUGUAUAUAGCUUGCUGCAAUAGUGUGGUCCUUGAUAUACAUAGUUUAACUUUUAAAAUGUGUUAGUAAUCUGUUUGCCUUGAAAUGCCUUAUGAAAAGUAUACUUAUUAUAGAACACAUACAGUUGCUAUCUGCCUAGUGCUAUCUCUGUUAUAGCAACUUAAGCUAAGAGAACACAUUUGGAAGAAAACCUCUUCCAAGCAGAGAAUUUUUUUUUGUUAUUGUUGCUGUGAAACUGUUGCUGGAAACGUUCAUUAACAAUUAGAGAUGUAGUCUUUCAACUGGACUUCCUUCAUUCAAAUUAUAUACAGAUUGCAAGACUCUUCAAGCCUACGGUCAUGUCAGGAGUGUGAGGAGUAAGAUAUUAGCCUUUCUUUUAAUCAGGAGAUCUUUGGAAUAGGUAUCUUGUUCACCAAAUUGCCUUCCUUUUCAUCUGUCACCAAAUAACAUCUUUGUAGAACUGCAGUAACUGGAAAGAAAGAAAAUACUGGAAAGUAUUUCUGUAGUUAGAACUGGGCUUGGCAUAUUUUCACCCUUCUGGAAAAGAGAUGCUGGUUUUGGUUCUUUGCUUUUUAAUCCCCUUUUUCAUGCCGUUGAGUACUGGAACAAAAGAAUAAAGGUGAGUACUGAGUAAACUGUGAAUUCUUUUUGGAUCAGACUUCAAGAGUCUGUUCUGACACACAUUUUGGUGUCACUUCUUCUGAGGGACUGUACUGACAAGCUCUCAGAACAUAUUCUUCCACGACAACUUCACAUAAUUUAGUAAACAUUUGAAUAAAUUUCAUACCAUCUUAUUGAAGUAGGCAGAAUACUUAUUUCUUGAGUAACCGAGCUUAAGUUAAAUGCUCAUAAUAAUUAAAACUAUAGAUUACAAUUAGUGGCUUGCCAUUCUAUUGCAGAAGUAGGUUGAAUGAAAAUCUCUGUCAAAAAUUAGAGGUUAAACACUGAAUUAAGAUACCAAAUAAUAGUGUGUCAGGAGUAUAGCCUUCUAUUUAGGACAGUGUUGUCAUGCACCUUGCUUGUACAAGGUCUGGAAACACUGUGAGACUUGGACAAACACAGUGCAGCCUCAGACUGUAGGGAUGUUACCUCUUUUUGAGCACGAUAUGCUCAGUCUCUUGGUUGAUGGAAAUAUGUCCAGUAUCUAAGGAGCUUGAUAGUGUGGGAGACAGCCACAGAUGCUCGAUUAGAAUACCCGAACGUUGUAGCAUGGGGCAGGAUAUAGCUUCUGUUCCCUUCUGCACCUCUGAAAUUGGUGUAAUAUGAAUUAGAUUGUCAUCAAGUUUAAUUUGUGAAGACCCAUAAAACAGAAAUGGCUCUACAUCGGUGCUAAAACUUACGCCACUUGCAUUAAAUGCAUGAGUAGCAAUCAGUAUUUGUUAAAACAAGUGCUUUUCCAGAAAUAUUUAAGUAAAAUCUCUAGGUGAAAUCUGAGCAAAAUUUGGAUUGGUACCUGCAAAAAUGGUGACCUCCUCCCUUCUAAGUUCGAUUUUCCUCUUGACGAUAGCCCUUCACCUAGAUGCCUCCCCAGGCAGCUGUAGUGAAUGGAUCUGGCCACAGAGGGAAUCUGGCCCACCGAAUUCCUUUUCUUUCUGUGCAAUUGAAUGAAAAGCAUGUGUCUUUUGAAGAACAGCGACUGAAAGAAAUAUUAAUGACUGCUGGGACAUCUACAGAAAAGCAUAAAAAAAUUACUACAGCAGGGAAGACAAAGGGGCUCUGUUAACUCUUUCUUGUAGGUUGUAUAUAUUAAUAGUAACGACCAAAGGUUCGUAUUUUUGCAGGGAAACACACAAGGCUUUGAAUUGUAUUGUUUUAAUUGCAGCUAGCUGAAUGAAUUAACUGGAAAGUCACACACAGUGCUUUGAUUGUCUAACUCUGUAUGUGAGGCUUUGGGAACAGUUUGUUAUUAGAAAAGAACAGCACUAACAAGAAAUCAGCCAACAUAUAAUUGCUGGGCUGAGGGACAGUUUGGGGAAAGCUGAUAUUUAUUUAUAAACUAUUAAAUAAAAAGCACAUAAUAUGCGGGUCAUCUCUCACUGCCUCCACACUUCAGAUAUUACUCAUCCUCCUAAGCUUCGUGUUCUACGGGGCAUUGCUUCUUAUAACCACUUCAGGAGUUGAAACCACCUACACCUAGGGAAGGAGAUGCUUGGACCUCUGUUACAAUGGCAGUUUUGGUUAUGAGACUGCACCAAAGGACAUGACUUUUCAGUUCAAGGAAAGAAUUCUUGACCAGGGAGCUGCUAUGUGCCUAAAAUACACACAAGCACUCGGGACUCUGUUUAGGUAGCCUCAAUACUGGUCAGUGUUUCCUACUGACAGCAGCCAUCUAUCCAAUACCCUAAAUAAAAGCUUAAGUAAGGCUUAAGAACAAUUUUGGCAUUCAUUUUAGUGGGAUUCUCAAAAACAUUUUCUUCCCAUCAGUUUGGGAAUUAUGCAACUUCUGGUUGUCUCUUGUGCUUUUCUCUGCCUGCUUAGUGCUAUAUGACCUUAGAAUUACAGCCACUUUGGAAGAUACAGAGAGGAGGAAGGUGGCGGCUGGGCUCACCAAGAGGCUGGAAUGCAUUUCAUCCUCAAUAGUUUUGGCUAUCAAAUACCUGUUCCUGCUUCUCUGGGGGAUGGAACCAUGGCUCUUUCAUCUAUGAGCUUUUCUCUAGGAAAACAAACAUAACUAUUAUCAUUGGCCCAGCUCUUCACAGCUAUACAGUUUCCUCUCAUUUCCAGCCGAGAGCUAAGAAGCCAAAAUUAUGAUGGAUUAGCUCUCUGAGGCUUUCUAGCUGUGUGGAAAGAGUAUUCUCUCCUCCAUCUUUCCUUUAGAAGCAGAAGAGGUGACUUCUGGGGACACACACAGCCCAUCUCCCUUGCCUGGCCACCCUUUCAAGGGGCAGCCAUAGGUGUUGGCAGCUGUGGCACUCACAGUCAGGUGCACAGGGCAGCCAAUCCUCUCUGCUUCAGAGGUGCCUGUUGCAAAGCAGGUGCACUGACACCUAAGCAGAUCCUCACAUGGCCGUGCAACAAGUGUGUGAGCAACGUCUGGGCCUCGCAGUGAGGUGUGUGUCCUGCAGACCAGGAGGCCCUGGGGACAGAAAGGUGCACCGUCACCUGGGUAGAUGGCACUGCCAGACCCAGCUUUGGGCUCGCUGAGCUGCUAUAUGCAGAUGAUGUUUAUGCUGUACAAACAAAUAGUACUGUUAGACCAUUCAAAUAGCGUUCAUGCAGCUUUUAACUGGUAGAGACUUUAUUUUAUGAUUUCAUCUACAGGCUUGUUAGAAACUUCUGUAUCCACACCAUCGGGCAGACUUUCUCCGUGAGGCCCAGCUGAGGUGAUGUGAAAAUUGCAUCACUAUUAUCAGCUACCUACCCAGUGGGUGCAAGACUGUUGUGCCAGAAGGUGCUUGAGAGGCGGAGCUGGGCAGGAUUUGACUUUGCACAGCUCUUGCUAAGAAUUGCUAAAUAUCUCUUUAACUGGUUUUUGACAUUUGAAUGUAUUUUCCUCAAGUUAGUUAUUCUUCUACAAAGGAACGUAGUUGCAUUUAUGGAAGAUCUUGACUUUUACAGCGUGUGAGGCCCAUGCAGUUUCCCCUGUGUACGCGUGUUGCCUGCAUAAUUACCAACAGCUGUAACAAAAACCCAGUUUUGUUAAAGGAGCUUUCAACAGAAAGGUAGAAGUGAUAUGCAACAGAAGAAAAAUUAAAAACAAGAGGGCUUGGAAAACGUUUAUAUACUUAGGAAAAAAAUUCAUUUUUAAUCCUGUUCUAUUAUUCUCUCUCUGAUAUUAAAAUCUAUAUAAAGCACUGCUGAUUUCAAUCGGCUCAACGCGAGGUAAUUCAGAACUCCC
rnacentral:lncRNA from 1 species